rnacentral:rRNA from 1 species
UGAUUUGUUGGACGCUAGCGGCGGAUGGGUGAGUAACACGUGGGCAAUCUGCCCUAAAGACUGGGAUACCACUUGGAAACAGGUGCUAAUACCGGAUAACAACAUGAAUCGCAUGAUUCAAGUUUGAAAGGCGGCGUAAGCUGUCACUUUAGGAUGAGCCCGCGGCGCAUUAGCUAGUUGGUGGGGUAAAGGCCUACCAAGGCAAUGAUGCGUAGCCGAGUUGAGAGACUGAUCGGCCACAUUGGGACUGAGACACGGCCCAAACUCCUACGGGAGGCAGCAGUAGGGAAUCUUCCACAAUGGACGCAAGUCUGAUGGAGCAACGCCGCGUGAGUGAAGAAGGUUUUCGGAUCGUAAAGCUCUGUUGUUGGUGAAGAAGGAUAGAGGCAGUAACUGGUCUUUAUUUGACGGUAAUCAACCAGAAAGUCACGGCUAACUACGUGCCAGCAGCCGCGGUAAUACGUAGGUGGCAAGCGUUGUCCGGAUUUAUUGGGCGUAAAGCGAGCGCAGGCGGAAUGAUAAGUCUGAUGUGAAAGCCCACGGCUCAACCGUGGAACUGCAUCGGAAACUGUCAUUCUUGAGUGCAGAAGAGGAGAGUGGAAUUCCAUGUGUAGCGGUGGAAUGCGUAGAUAUAUGGAAGAACACCAGUGGCGAAGGCGGCUCUCUGGUCUGCAACUGACGCUGAGGCUCGAAAGCAUGGGUAGCGAACAGGAUUAGAUACCCUGGUAGUCCAUGCCGUAAACGAUGAGCGCUAGGUGUUGGGGACUUUCCAGU